rnacentral:pre_miRNA from 14 species
UCCAAGUGGUUCUCCGGACAAGCCCCCAAAUGAAAGACCCCCGGAGUGGGGAGACCCUCACUCAAGUCUCCAGAUGAUGCAACCCCCCAAGAACUCACGAGAGACC